AGGUACAGGAACACAAAAAUUUGCUCGUAGAUGUGGUAUAUUUUUUUAUUGAAAAAAAUUUGUAAACCAUCAACUUUUCACGUUUUAAGACUUAAUACAUAGUAUUAUUUUAUAAUAAAUUAACCUACUAAAGAAAAUUUAAUGAUCAAUUAAAAUUAUGAAGGCUUGAACACUUCGACUUGUGCUAUUAAGCAUGAAUUAUAUUCUAAUAUUUCAAACACUAAUCAUUAAGCUAACAUAAGACAAAGUCAAAAGAACGAGAAUUUCAAAUGAAAUCUCAAAAUUGGAUAAAAAAAAAAUUAUUGACUAACUGAAGGGAGUAUGAAAAUUAAAAAGUAGCAAAAAAAUAAAAUUAAAAAGGCCAAAAAAAACUCUAUAUAAAGUAUGGGUUUAAAAAACAAAUUAACAGAUAUAAGGAUCGAACCCGCGACCCCUUUCAAUUCAGAAGUUCGCUUGACGUGCGACUCUAACCACUGGGUUGCAUUGCUAUAUAUAUAUAUAUAUAUAUAAAAUCAGGAUCUGGUGUGAACCACCCCUUAAGAUGAGAACUGAGAACCAAUCUCAACCGUAGAUAAAUUAAUCCAACAACCCACAAUCUACCCGACCAACCCAAAACAUUAAGGGUAAUUUGGUGAUUUUGUAGCGCUGAAUGACCUCCUCUCUCAACCCAAUUUUCAGAAUUUGUUUCUCUCUCCUCGUUCAAUUUUCUCUCUCCUCUUGGAAAUCAUCUCUCUGCGAUUUUUCACCUUCUUCGAACACAAAAACCAAGAUAAGAAAUCACAACAACGAAGUCCUUGAUUCCAGAUCCCAACGACCCUAAUUUUUGUGAAGAACUGAAAGUACGGUAAUAUUACUAUGAUCAAUACAAAACUAGUAAAGAAAUAAAAUGAGCAUACCUGCUACACUGCUGGUAGAACCUCUGCAUCUGGUUCGCUACUGGUGAUUUGGUACCCCUGCUAUGAAACUCGCAAACCUUGUGACGUCUGUGAUAAUCCUUGGAUUUGGAUAGAUAUUCGGUACAAUUAUCCACCUCACACAUUGGAUGGUUCCCGCCACUGACUGGAGAUCCAGACCGCACCUUCUUGUUAGGCCUUGAAGAGGAAGCUGGAUCCUCAGUUGAGUUUGAGCUUUGGACAUGCUCAACACUGACUUUGUUCUUGUUACAUUACUGUCUCCAAUCCUAGCUAGCUGUAACCGGAUACUACCGUCAUCUUGUUCUUGUUGGCCAUCAUCACGACGGCUGCUGCUCUUUGAAGUAAACGAACCGCUCAAAAUAGGAUUGACACCUUCCUUAUUAUUCUAAGGUAAGACCUCAGGAAGAAUACCCAAACGAAGCUAACCAGCUUCAAUUGGUUGUUUCAGGUGCAACAUUAUGGGCUGAUGUAGGUGUUGCACAGAUUGGUUGAUGUCGUUGGUGGUUGCAGAGCUGAUGUUGCAAGUCAGUCGAGGGUGGUAUGCUGUCAGUGAUUGACUUUUGGGCAGCUGUUCUGAUGUGUUUGGCUGCUCUUUAGCAGUGUUGUGUGUGUGGUGUUGCUGCAGGGGGGUAGUGGUUGUUGUUGCUUGUUGUUUCGGGUUGGUUUUUUUUUGCCUCUGUUGGAGUUUCUUUAAGUACUUUUUUUUCUUUACUUCGAGAAUCAAUUUACUUAUUUUGGUUUACUUUUAUUUAACUAGCCUGCUAGCUCAAUUGGUAGAGCAUUGUGCAAAUGCACAAAAGAUGUGGGUUCGAAUCCCACGUAGGUUCAUAUUUACUUUUGAUAUUUUUUAUUUACUUUUAGUUUGUAAACCUUUACUUUGACCUCCAAUACUGGAAGUUUCUUUUUGGGA